GGACCGUGUAUAAGUCUCUUGGAACAGAGCGUCAUAGAGGGUGAGAAUCCCGUCUUUGACACGGACUACCAGUGCUUUGUGAUGCGCUCUCAAAGAGUCGAGUUGUUUGGGAAUGCAGCUCAAAAUGGGUGGUAAAUUCCAUCUAAAGCUAAAUAUUGGCGAGAGACCGAUAGCGAACAAGUACCGUGAGGGAAAGAUGAAAAGCACUUUGGAAAGAGAGUUAAACAGUACGUGAAAUUGCUGAAAGGGAAACGCUUGAAGUCAGUCGCGUUGGCCGGAACUCAGCCUUGCUUUUGCUUGGUGCACUUUCCGGUUAACGGGCCAGCAUCGAUUUUGACCGUCGGAUAAGGGUCAGGGAAAUGUGGCACCUUUUGGUGUGUUAUAGUCUCUGGUCGCAUACGUCGGUUGGGAUCGAGGAUCGCAGCGCGCCGCAAGGCAGGGGUUUAUCCCACUUUCGCGCUUAGGAUGCUGGCAUAAUGGCUUUAAACGACCCGUCUUGAAACACGGACCAAGGAGUCUAACAAACCUGCGAGUGUUUGGGUGGUAAACCCGAGCGCGUAAUGAAAGUGAAAGUUGAGACCUCUGUCGUGGAGGGCAUCGACGCCCGGACCUGACGUUCUCUGACGGAUCCGCGGUAGAGCAUGUUUGUUGGGACCCGAAAGAUGGUGAACUAUGCCUGAAUAGGGUGAAGCCAGAGGAAACUCUGGUG
rnacentral:rRNA from 1 species